UACAGAGGUCCCAAGCGUUGUUCGGAUUUACUGGGCGUAAAGGGUGCGUAGGUGGCGAGGUAAGUUCGAUGUGAAAUCUCCGAGCUCAACUCGGAAAUGGCAUUGAAUACUAUCCCGCUUGAGGGUCGGAGGGGAGACUGGAAUUCUCGGUGUAGCAGUGAAAUGCGUAGAUAUCGAGAGGAACACCAGUGGCGAAGGCGAGUCUCUGGACGACUCCUGACACUGAGGCGCGGAAAGCGUGGGGAGCAAACAGG
rnacentral:rRNA from 1 species